UGAAAAUACCAUUAGCGUGUUGUGUUUAAGAAGAAGUUAGUAAAAAGGUUAUAUUAUUCAGAAAAGUUCGUAAUUUCGCGUGGUGCGUGGCCAUUAUAAAGUAAUCUUGGAAGUCAUGAUACAGAGUCAUGAUUUAUUCGUUUAUACUCAGAUUAGGCUCUUCAGACUUUAGAUGAAGGUGUGCGGAGUAGUCUCCACCUAUCUUGGAUUUUUGUAUGUAGAGUUCCUAUCGGAGUCCCUCAGCCUGGUGUGCCUGGUCUUCCCCGAAGGUAGCAGCCUGCGCAGUGACACACCACCGCCUACUACUUCGGAGAGUAGCGUGCUGCG